rnacentral:misc_RNA from 1 species
UAAUUUAAAACGCCGUAAAGCAGUCAGUUGAAAUAUAUGACAAUGCGAUAGCUAUAUUUUAACUUCCUUAUGCAAAUUGUGAUAUGGAAAAUCUAGAGCGUAUGAAAUUUGUGAUUUUGUUAUUUACCUGUAAUGAAUUACUAGUUAUCAGUACAGACUCCCUUAAUUGCAAUUUCGAUGAUGGGCUUUGUAGCUGGAGACAGGACACACAUAAUGACUUUAACUGGACUAUUUGGUCAGGAGAAACCCCAACUCCUGACACGGGACCAGACCCUGAUCACACAUCAGGAGAGGGAUGUUACGUCUAUAUUGACACGAGUGAAGAAGAAAAUAAUAAAAAGGCCAGACUGAUUAGCCCAAAGACGAGUCCUGGACAAUACUGCUUCUCGCUCUGGUACUACAUGUACGGUCAACAUGUAAGACUACUCGUAUUAUUUACACAAAAAGGAGCAGUUAAAAAAAGAGUAUCCAGGGUUUCUGGAGAACAGGGACAAAAAUGGAUUUUACAACAAACAUUCAUUGAUACUGACGAACCGUUCGAGAUAAUUAUUGUUGGAAGAGUAAAAAAAAGCGGAGAUCAUGACUUAGGUGAUAUAGCGAUUGACGAUAUAGUGAUGUUUUCCAGUAAUAGAUGUCUAGCAGAUUGUGGCGAUCCAAUCCCAGAAUUUGGUUUUGCUGACUCAAAAGAUAUCGCAAUAGGAUCAAACGUACACAUAGCAUGUCAAACUGGUUAUAAGAUCACAGGAAAUCCAUCGAUUGUUUGCCAGGCAAAUGGUACAUGGAGUGACAGUCCAGUUUGUCAUCAAACUGUGGGAUACCAACGUUUAACAGUGAAAUAAUUGUACAAAUGUUUGAAGGCACUACAUAUAACAUGUCGCUGGUAUUGGACUGUUCAGAAGGCUUUACAUCGAUUGGCAAUGCAUAUAUAACUUACUGCAGCGACCCGAGUCCAGAAUAUGGAAUAGUUAAUAGCACAAGCCUUCAGUACGGUUCGGUUGUCAAAGUAACAUGCAUUCCUGGUUACAAAAUCACUAGAAGAUCUCUUAUUCUUUGCCAAGCAAAUUCUACA